AUGGGGGACACACCCCCCCCCGCCUGGGUAGUGUGCCCAGAGGUGGGGAUUGCACCCACUGACGGACACACUGAUGGACGCACACCCCACUGUGUCCACGCACCCACGGGCGAUGCAGGCACACCCCGCCAUGUCCCUGCACCCACGGGUGAUGUGUGCACACCCCACCCUGUCCAUGCACCCAUGGCUGAAGCAUUCACACCCCGCCGUGUCCGUGCACCCACAGGCGAUACAGGCACACCCCGCCGUGUCCAUGCACCCACGGGUGAUGUGUGCACACCCUGCCAAGUCCCUGCAUCCACGACUGAUGGAUGCAUGCCCCGUUGUGUCCACGCACCCAGAAUGAUGGACGCACACCCUGCCAUGUGCCUGCACCCACGGCUGAUGUGUGCACACCCUGCCGUGUCCAUGCACCCAUGGCUGAAGCAUUCACAACCUGCCGUGUCCAUGCACCCACGGGCGAUGCAGGCACACCCUGCCGUGUCCCUGCACCCACGACUGAUGUGUGCACACCCCACCAUGUCCAUGCACCCACGGCUGAAGGAUGCACACCCUGCCGUGUCCAUGCACCCACAGCUGUUGUGUGCACACCCCACUGUGUCCAUACACCCACGGGCGAUGCAGGCACACCCCACCAUGUCCAUGCACCCACGGCUGAAGCAUUCACACCCCGCCGUGUCCAUGCACCCACGGGCGAUGGAUGCACGCCCCAUCGUGUCCACGCACCCACGGGCGAUGCAGGCACACCCUGCCGUGUCCAUGCACCCACAGCUGAUGUGUGCACACCCCACCCUGUCCAUGCACCCACGGCUGAAGGACGCACACCCUGCCGUGUCCAUGCACCCACGGCUGAUGCAGGCACGCCCCGCCGUGCCCAUGCACCCACGGGCGGCGGACGCACGCCCCCUCACCGGGACACCCGUGGCGGUGCCCGCAGGCCCGGUGCCUGCCCAGGGGCGGUGCGGGGGGCGCAGGGACCCGCGGCCCGCGCUCACCUGGCUCGGCGCUGCCCGCCCGCACCGCUCCCCAGGGCUGUCCCGCCGAGGGGUGGCGGCACGGCCACCUCCCCUGCCAGUCCCCCGCGCCGCCGGGCGGCGCCACGCCGCCAGCCUCCAUCCGCGCCCGCCGUUGGCUGACUCCGCAGCGACC
rnacentral:lncRNA from 1 species